AGAACAUAUCCAGACAGUAGAGGUGAUCGGUAUGCACGCAGGCGCAGCCUGUGUACUGUUCGGGGCUGGCGACCUCUGCAUAUCGACCGACCGCGGCGAGACAGCUAGGGCACUCGCCGUCUGCUGCCACUACCACUGCAGAUGGAAUUCGGCUGCUGGCUCGCGUGGUAUGCUGGGAUGAUCUGGACACGGACUACAUUCUGUUCGAGUUCGGGGGAGACCCUGCAGGAAACAUACUGCUCUGUUUAACACGCCCUGCAAAUGUUAACGACGCACAUCCGCAGGAUAAAUGCGAAGGAGCCUAACCAGACUGAUUCACUGGUCCAGAGGACAGUGCGGCCACAGCUGCCGCCAGAGGGUGUCAUCACGACACCGCGGGACAAUCCCAUGGAGACGGAGCCUUCGCCUUAUCCGCCUCCUCUCGUCCUACCGAUAGACCUGGACCCGCCCGCACAGCGGCACUCGCCGCUUCUUCAUCUGGCUCAUGGCAGCCGAAGGUGGACGCGUACCCUUCUGGUAGUUUUCCAGGGGACGUUUCUGCCAGAGUGCAGGCCGGAUGGCGGGGUACAGCCGGAAGCUUGACGUCUCCUGCAGCCACAGCUUCCGGCCCGUCGAGGCGCCCACACUUCUGCAGCCCCCGCCGUAGUCGCACCCAUACACGACGACCGUCCGUCGAUUUGUGAGGGAGGAAUGUUCUGGCCUAACCACAAGCGCCGGAACGGAGACGAAGAACGGAAGACCAGAGAAGUUGGUGAGGAAACGUCAGCCAAUAGCCGCUGACAAGGACCGAGUCGCGCCAGGUGCGCCCCCUGCAAGAAGUGAAUAUAAGCACCAGCCUCGGCCGCGCAGAUGGGCUCAGUGUACAGACAACAGUGGACAGGAUUCGCC